rnacentral:tRNA from 1 species
GAUGGUAUAGCUCAAGUGGUAGAGCACACGCUUAGCGUGCAUGAGCUUGUGGGUUCAAUCCCCAGUACCUCUA